UACAGAGGUCCCAAGCGUUGUUCGGAAUUACUGGGCGUAAAGGGCUCGUAGGCGGCCAACUAAGUCGGAUGUGAAAUCCCCAAGCUUAACUUGGGAACUGCAUCCGAUACUGGAUGGCUUGAAUCCGGGAGAGGGAUGCAGAAUUCCAGGUGUAGCGGUGAAAUGCGUAGAUAUCUGGAGGAAUACCGGUGGCGAAGGCGGCAUCCUGGACCGGCAUUGACGCUGAGGAGCGAAAGCUAGGGGAGCAAACGGG
rnacentral:rRNA from 1 species